ACUACGGGUGGCAGCAGUGAGGAAUAUUGGUCAAUGGGAGAGAUCCUGAACCAGCCAAGCCGCGUGAGGGAAGACGGCCCUAUGGGUUGUAAACCUCUUUUGUCGGAGAACAAAACACGGGACGUGUCCCGGCCUGCGUGUAUCCGAAGAAAAAGCAUCGGCUAACUCCGUGCCAGCAGCCGCGGUAAUACGGAGGAUGCGAGCGUUAUCCGGAUUUAUUGGGUUUAAAGGGUGCGUAGGCGGUCCGUUAAGUCAGCGGUAAAAUUGCGGGGCUCAACCCCGUCGAGCCGUUGAAACUGGCAGACUUGAGUUGGCGAGAAGUACGCGGAAUGCGCGGUGUAGCGGUGAAAUGCAUAGAUAUCGCGCAGAACUCCGAUUGCGAAGGCAGCGUACCGGCGCCAGACUGACGCUGAGGCACGAAAGCGUGGGGAUCGAACAGGAUUAGAUACCCCAGUAGUC
rnacentral:rRNA from 1 species